UACGUAGGUGGCAAGCGUUGUCCGGAAUUACUGGGCGUAAAGGGCGAGUAGGCGGUUCUGCAAGUCAGAUGUGAAAGGCGUGGGCUCAACCUACGCAUUGCAUUUGAAACUGCAGGACUUGAGUGCGGUAGAGGAAAGUGGAAUUCCCAGUGUAGCGGUGAAAUGCGUAGAUAUUGGGAGGAACACCAGUGGCGAAGGCGACUUUCUGGGCCGUAACUGACGCUGAGGCGCGAAAGCGUGGGGAG
rnacentral:rRNA from 1 species